CACCCUCAGGGACCCCCUCCCGCCCGGCUCUGGAAAGGGGAAAGGGGUUUAAACUUACCUUUUUCCAGUGCUGGGCGGGGAGCUCUCCUCCUCCGAUCCUCCUCUUCUCCUCCCCGUCGGCUGAAUGCGCACGCGCGGCAAGAGCUGCGUGUGCAUUCAGCCGGUCACAUAGGAAAGCAUUCAUAAUGCUUUCCUAUGGACGCUGGCGUGCUCUCACUGUGAAAAUCACAGUGAGAAGCACGAAAGCGCCUCUAGCGGCUGUCAAUGAGACAGCCGCUAGAGGAAAUAGGGGAAGGCUUAACCCAUUCA
rnacentral:lncRNA from 1 species